rnacentral:lncRNA from 1 species
UUUUCACCGGGAGACAAGAACAUGGAGCAAGGAGAGGUGUCGGAUCCCCUCGAUGGCGCCUUCAACAAGGAAAAAUCAUACCCGAGGACAUCAUUCGCCAUCCGCUCAGAGCGAAGUUGAACAUGACUUUUGUCGAGGAACCGAGCACCUAUGCCGGGGACGACGUCUCCAACACACCAUCACCAGACCGGAGCAACAGGCGCCACUUGUUGCACCUCAUAGAACUGGUCAGAGCACCACCGGUGACGUCGUGCCAUAGCAACCCGAAGGCCGUCUCAAGACUACGCCACCGCGGACCGCAAACCCGAGUGGAACCACCUCGCACCCGCUGAAAGCAAGUCGCUGGCCGAGCCGCCUCGGGCCCCCCAGCCGCCAGGGCGCCAGAUCCGUUCGUCCUACCAGAUACGGCCACACCCAGCCAGGGACCGCCCACCGCGGGGAUCCCGCGAGUCCGCGUCCUCCCACAGCUUCCCCCAACGGCGACGCGCGUGGUCGCGCUGCCACGGAGCCCACCAGUCGCAGCUGCCCACGACGCCUACACGGCACGCCGCUCGCCGCGCCCGCUAGCGCCUACUCGUCGCGCCCACCGGCGCUUGUCACGCUCGUCCACGCCCGCUCGCCGCGGUCGACGCGCCCCGUAGCUCUCCCCAGCCGAGCAGCCCCGCACUGCCCAGAUCUCGCGAGCGGAAAGGAAGUCCCCGCAGUCGCGCGGGCUUUGCCCGGCGGCGCUUGCCGGCGGCGGCGAGGGGAGGCGAGAUCCGGUCGGGGAGUUGUAGCGGCGGCUAGGGUUUCCGCCCGUGUCGCCCGCGGGGGAGACGACACGAGUCGGGUUUGUCUCUCUUUCUUGGUGUUUGGUUUUGGAAUAGAGGAGAUGGAUGAAGCAUCUUGUUUUAAUUAGAGCAUCUUCAAUCUUUACUCUUAGAGCAUCUCUAACAGCAGCCCUAUAUAAGGCAGCCACUUUAGGUGUUAUAGGGCUACCCUAUUUCUAUUUUAGGGCAGCAAAACGACUGUUGGUUUUCUAGCAGACCAAGAUAGGGCACCACAUUGCUCCAACGACCGCCCUAUAUAGGACACGACUGCGGCCAAACUAUGACUCAACUAUGCAUUUUUGCAUGAAACAACAUCAUAAUUGAGGAAAAAAUUCUAGGAGAAAAGAUUGAAUCAACAUGAACACAAUGUCACGUAAUCAUAGCAUAGUUCAAGCAUACGGUAGUUCAAACAUACGAUAGCUCAUGGUUCAUAACAUAGAAAUAACAACGAGAACAUGAACAACAAACAUAAACUACUCCUCAGUGGUCUUGUCAUUGGUUGCUUCUUUUUCUUCCUCCAUUUUGUCAUUAGGCAUGUUGAUGUUGGUGGUGUAGGCAUUGUUGGUGUUGUUGCUUGCCACCGUAGCACCACUCGUGCCAACUCCAAAGUUUGCACCUCCGUAGCCACCUCCAUAGCCACCUCCAAAGCUCCACAUGCCACCAACUCCACCACCUCCCAUGGCUCCUCCCAUGUAGUCGGCCAUCAUUUGCUUCUUCCUCAACACUUCAUCACGGCACAUCUCCACAUAUGCCUUUGGUUUCUCAUCAAUUGUGUUUUGUCCAUGAACAUGAGUUGACGCUCGAGCUCCAUAGCCUUAUGAGACUCCUCCAUCAUGAGCUUCCUCUCAUCCAUGGCCACAUUCCUAUCCUGGGUCGCCCCAUUUAGCUCCUCGGUCACCGCCUUCCUCUCCUCGGUCGUCGCCCUCCUCUCCUCGUCCGUCGCCAUGCGUAGCUCGGCUUCUUUGAGCUCUUCAAUUUGCUUAAUUUUUAGGGCCUUCCUCUCCUCGUUCAUCUCCUUGCGAGUUGACAUAAAGGCAUCCAAAGAUUUUUGAAUGUCAUCAUCGCCGGCCUUUUUUUCCCUUCAUCUUCUCUUUCGCCGCCUUUCUUCCAUUGGGUCGUAACCUUCCUCUUCGAUCUUCCAUCUGGCGUCGCGUCCGCCUUCGCGUCGGCAGCAACCUUUCUCUUCCCCGGCUUCGUAGCGGCUGCCUUCCUCCUAGGCGGUGCCGGCGGCUUCGCGGCGAGGAUCUGGUUGGGUUCCGCGGCGCCCACCGGUUGAGGCGGCACAAAUUCGGGCCGGGACGAUGGCGGCAUAGGGUUCGCGGCGACGGCGGCGGUGGGGGCUACCGGGGCUGUGGGUGCCGCUGUUCUUCCAUCGGAAGGGUCGACGAGCGUCGGGGGAGGUGUGUUGUUGCCGUCCAUGGCGGGCAUAGUGAUCGCCGAUGGGGCAGGAUGCGGGGAGACGGCGGAGGCGCGACCGCAGGGAAGGUUCAGCAUGGCAGUUGGCUGCGCGCGCGCGUGGCAUUGUGAAUUUGGGGCAGCCCCUUCGGUGCCCCAAAUUUACAUCACUUUGCUACAUUUUAGGGAGUGCCCUAAUUUUUUUUUGGCUGGUGACUUAUUUAGGGCAGCCAUUGGAAACCGAUUUUCAUCGUUUUCUGUCCUACAUAACAGGUUUUAUACAUCCCUGCCCUAUAUAGGGCUGGUGUUAGAGAUGCUCUUAAUUUCUCACUUGAUAGAAUAGCUUUUAGGUUUUUUCAACCUGUUUUAUUUCAUCUCCCCCACCCCCUCAUGUGUAAUGCAAGCAAAAAAAAAAACCAUAGAAGUACACAAAAAACAUACUACCAUUAAUCCUAUACUAGAUACGGAGUUGUCUCCAUCUCGCCGUCUUCACGCCCCCGUCUUCGCGCUGCCAUCUUCACGGGAUCGCCAUGCCGCCGUCCUCUUCUCAGCACGGCGCCAACGUCUUCAUGAUGCGCCAAUGUCUUCACGCACUGCCGCGAUCUCCUGUCAUCUUACGCUGGUAGGAGGCGUCCGGGAUCAAGGUCGUCGUCUUCACUGACGUACUAUAUUGAGUGUCGCGUCGCCGUCUUUCCACUGCGUUGCCGUUUUCACGCGCCACCGCUGAUCUCGGAGCCGCGAUCUCCUGCCAUUUUCCGCUGCCGUGAGGCGUCCGGGAUCCAGCCUGCCGCGGACAUACAAAUCAACACGACAGGUAUGCUGAAUCAAAAAAUCGCAUUUUUGCUGAGAUUGUAAUUUUAUCAAUUGUAAUCUGCUACUAUGCACCGACAUUCUACUAUGCAUGGCAAUAACAUUGUAUAACAACAUGAAAAUUUGCAAUUUUUGGAUCAGGAAAUAGCACCAGAUUAACUUAUCACAUGAGGUUACCAAUGAAAUAGCACCUAAAAAGUAUAAAAGAAAAUAUUGCUCACUUGUGAACAAGUUUGAAAUAAUAUCAAUCCCAUAAAUAAUGGUAAUACAGUUUGCAAAAUACUAUUGCAAUAUAAAUAAGUAGAGAAGGCAUACGCAGAUACACUACAUCAAAAAAUGGAGAUUUCGCUUCUGUUUGCAUGAGAGGUGCUAGUAUUUUACCUCUGCAAGCCAACCCCAUGGUUGUACCCAACAAUAUAAAAUCUGCAGAAAUGGAAAAAUGUUAGACACAGUGGCGGACCUAGAGAAUAUUUUGAAUGGAGGCAAACUAUUUGAGUGGGGGCAUGUUCUUUAAAAAAUCAACGAAUUUAAGCAUAUUUUUCAAAAACCACAAGCAAAUAUUGCUGCAGUUUCAAAUUUUGAGUGGGGCCUAGGCCCCCACUCACCUCAACAUAGGUCCGCCCCUGGUUAGACAUGAUUGGCAACUUAUUGGACAACGCCAACCUGGACUGAUGGACGACUUAUUGUUGCUUGAUUUACAAGCUUCGUAAGAAAUCAUAAUAAAAAGUAUUCAAAAAAAAAUUACUGACUUAGUUCACCGAUAGUAGAGUGCCCAUAUGUGAAUGGAUAAAAUAUUACUAAAAGCUAAAAACAUAUUUAGUUGAUUUUGUACAGGAUGCACGCAUCAACAACAUUCUUAUUUUAUACAUGAGGCACACAUCAGUAUGUUGGAGAUCCCUUUUGUUUUGCCUAAAUAUUUAUUUGAUGGACAACACUUAAAUAUGAGUAAGAUUUGUUGUGUUGUUCAUUGAUAGGUACAUAUGGGUAAUCCACACAGCAAGGCAACAGAACAAAUGCCAGCGUUAGAUGUCCCUCUAUGUUCAACUAUAGAAAUUGCUAUUCAUGUUAAUUACCAUCACAUACUCGUAAUGACAUAGUGAGUUCUUGAGGUGUUAGAGGUCUGAUGAAUGGGACAAAUUUUGGCGAGUACUCCCACAGAUUACACCCGUAGCUAACGUUGUUGACGAGAUCAACCCCAGCGUUCCACGUAUAAGGCUGUGUAUAUAUAGCUAUCAUAUUUUUCCAUUGUUGUACUAUUUUACGUGAUCAAUCAUACAUAACAUACUUGUACACGCACACCAUGUCUAAUGUAUCAAGCAUGUGACCUGCAGGAAUUCAUAGUACUCCCUCGAAACGGGUGAUACUUGAACUGAUCGAACAACCAGUUCUACAUUUGAUUUCAGGUAAAUAUGUGGCAUAAUUAUUCGUUAUAGGAAUAUAAUUGAAUUUGUUGGGAUAUCAGUAAACUUACUCGUUAUGUCACAUAUUUGUUAUUUUUAGAUGAUGCAGGCAACCCAGCAGUCUCAGACAUGCAUAAUGAAGCUUCAUUGUCGGCUAUGAGUAAUCUCGUGCAACAUUAUGCCAGAGAUGUAGCACAAAGUUCAUAUGGUAUUACCUGAUACGUCUUUGAUAUGAUUGUGCUUACAUGGGAUUUGUUUUCCUAUAUUAACCCAUCUUUUUUAGGAAUGCAUAGUACUCCCUCACAAUGGAUGAUACUUGAACAGACCAAACAACCAGCUGUACCCCAACACACUGAUGAUCAUAUCACAAAUGUUAAUCAUACUUAUCAUUUAAUUGUAGAUAAGUAUUAAAUGCAUAGAAUAUGUUUUUUUAGUUAGGAUAACAACUAACUUGUUGGUUGUCAUACAUAACGAUGGAGAGUGUUGGAAAUAUGAGCAAUUUACCAAAGGAUUUUAUUAAAAGAAAAGCUAGGAUAAACCUAACCAUCAUAACUAAGACGGAAGAAGACAUGCAAUAUAGAGAUGAAAUGACAGAAGACAGGUGCAUAUAUGAUCUAGAAAAAAACAUAUGCAUAACCGUUCUACAUAGACAAGGUACCAUAGGAAGUGAUGAGCAAACACGGUACAUACCUAAAAAAGAUACUAUAGCAAAAAAGUUGCGAUAGAAACUGAAAGAAGAAGAACAUGAGUACGUACUGAGUUGCAGCAGCAGGAUUGGUGUUGGCGUUGUCGUUGGCCAUGUUACCAGAGAGGUGGUCGACGUCAGGGAAGUAGUCGUCGCCCGGGAAGAAAUCGUCGGUGUCCGUGAUGGAAGCCAGUAGUCACGCUGAGCGCUCCCCAAAAACCUUAUCGUCCUUCUCACGUAUAGGACUCGAAGAGAUGGAGUUUCGGAGGCCUACUAUCCCGACGAACGGUGCACGCCGCAAGACGGGAUGAGGAAGAACGUAGCAGCAGCACAGAGAAAGGAACCGGUGGCGAGAGGAACUUCUGAUGCGCACUUCUGGAGAGGAGCGACCUCUCUUUUAUAGGCGCAGGAGAAGAAGGCGAGAGACCAGAGCCGAAGAGAACGACGGGAUACGAAACGAACAGACUGCAGCGUUCGUUUUCAAUAUCCACUAGCAAAACAUUCAGCUUCUUUGAGUGGACUUUUAAAUACCAGUCGUGCGUGGCAAAAAUUUAGUUCGGCUCGCCUCAUUCCCGCAACCCGCGGCGCGUCGUGACGAGGCGGGCGGCGGAGGAGGAGCGCGCGUGUAUGUCUCCAUUGUUCUCAAGCUCAUACAUGUGUGGAAACAUCCUCCCUUAUAAGGAGGUCCAACUCCCACUAAACUAGCAAUGUGGGACUAAAUAUUUCCACCUCUUGCCUUGCACAAAUGGGUUGCAUGGGCCUCUAGGAUUUAUUAGGAAUUAUAUAUUGGGUUGGCCCAAAUAAUUGAAUAAAAUUCUAGCACAGAGAACCCAUCAAUCUCAGUCAUACAUAAUGAAGCUUCGUUGCCGGCUACCAGAGAUCUCACACGGGUUUGUGCCGCGGACAUAGCAUAAAUUUCAAAUGGUAUUAUCGCAUAAUGAUAACCCACAAGUGUA